rnacentral:tRNA from 1 species
GGGGCUGUAGCUCAGUGGUAGAGAGCUUGCCUAGCAAGCGUGAGGCACUCGGUUCGAUCCUCAGCACCA